rnacentral:rRNA from 1 species
GACGAACGCUGGCGGCGUGCUUAACGCAUGCAAGUCGAACGGAAAGGCCCUGCUUUUGUGGGGUGCUCGAGUGGCGAACGGGUGAGUAACACGUGAGUAACCUGCCCUUGACUUUGGGAUAACUUCAGGAAACUGGGGCUAAUACCGGAUAGGAGCUCCUGCUGCAUGGUGGGGGUUGGAAAGUUUCGGCGGUUGGGGAUGGACUCGCGGCUUAUCAGCUUGUUGGUGGGGUAGUGGCUUACCAAGGCUUUGACGGGUAGCCGGCCGGAGAGGGUGACCGGCAACUUGGGGGAUGAUGGAGGCCCCAGACCCGAAGGGGGGGCAGGGGGGGGAAAUUUGAAAAAGGGGGGGGGAGCGUAUGGCGAAACCCCCGGGGGGGGGAUGCGGGCUUGGGGGUUGAAACCCGCUUUCCCCUGUGACAGGGGGGGAGGGAGGGUAGGGGAAAAAGAAGCCCGGGCUAACUACGUG